rnacentral:lncRNA from 1 species
UUUGUUUCCUGCUGUGAUUAAGGCUGAAGGUCAGAGAUGUCGAAGGGUUUAGUGGUGCUGGCGUACAGCGGGGGUCUGGACACUUCCUGUAUCCUGCUGUGGCUGAAGGAACAGGGCUACGAAGUCAUCGCCUUCCUGGUGAAGCUCUGGUUGAUCUGAGGACAGCCGUGUGUGCAAGCACUGACAUACUUUACUGCAGAUAUAUAUAUAGUGAAUUAGAUUUUUGUUGAAAUAAAUUAGUUGCUUGAAUUUUUAUUUGAACUAAUUGAGCAAAUUUUUAGUCCUAGUAAGUUUGUUACUAAAUUUUUAAUAAUAAUAUUAUUAUUUGAAUCUUUUUCUUUUUCAUAUUAUUAUUAACUUUUUAUAUUAUUAUUUAUUAAUUAUAUAUAUAAUUUUUUUAUAUUAUAUUAUUUCAUAUUUAGAAUUUUAAAACAUGUUAAAAUAUUUUAUAUUUUUUCCUUUCCUUUUAAUUUCAGUUUUAGUAUAAUUUUAAUAGUUGUUUUUUUUAACAUUGCAUAUUUGUAAGCUGUCACUGUGACAACAUGCCCCAUUAUUAGGGUAUUUUUAGGAAUUAAAAUGUAUUGAAAAUAGAAAAUGUGCAAAAUUAUUUUUUUAAACUAAAUUGUUCUAUGAAUACUUAAAAAAAAAAUCUCACUCUAUGAUGUGUUUUUUAAAUUAUCAUUAUGAUACUAUUAUAAUUUAAAUUACUUUAUUUUUUAUUAAUAAAAUUAAACACAUUACUGCACAAUUUUCCACACCAAAAUCAGUCAAGCUCAUAUCACCAGCAAACAUACACUCAUUUACA